UACGGGGGGAGCAAGCGUUGUUCGGAUUUACUGGGCGUAAAGGGCGCGUAGGCGGCGUGACAAGUCACUUGUGAAAUCUCCGGGCUUAACUCGGAACGGUCAAGUGAUACUGUCGUGCUAGAGUACAGAAGGGGCAACUGGAAUUCUCGGUGUAGCGGUGAAAUGCGUAGAUAUCGAGAGGAACACCUGCGGCGAAGGCGGGUCUCUGGACAGUUCCUGACGCUGAGGCGCGAAGGCCAGGGGAGCAAACGGG
rnacentral:rRNA from 1 species